rnacentral:rRNA from 1 species
ACGUACACUCCUACGGGAGGCAGCAGUGGGGAAUAUUGGACAAUGGGCGCAAGCCUGAUCCAGCCAUGCCGCGUGAGUGAUGAAGGCCCUAGGGUUGUAAAGCUCUUUCACCGGUGAAGAUAAUGACGGUAACCGGAGAAGAAGCCCCGGCUAACUUCGUGCCAGCAGCCGCGGUAAUACGAAGGGGGCUAGCGUUGUUCGGAUUUACUGGGCGUAAAGCGCACGUAGGCGGACUAUUAAGUCAGGGGUGAAAUCCCGGGGCUCAACCCCGGAACUGCCUUUGAUACUGGUAGUCUUGAGUUCGAGAGAGGUGAGUGGAAUUCCGAGUGUAGAGGUGAAAUUCGUAGAUAGUCGGAGGAACACCAGUGGCGAAGGCGGCUCACUGGCGCGAUACUGACGCUGAGGUGCGAAAGCGUGGGGAGCAAACAGGAUUAGAAACCCCUGUAGUCCCAUGAU